ACAAGCACACAACAGUGCGUGUGUGUAAAUGUAUAUAAAAACGGGGGCAACACCAAACUACGUCAUAAGAGCUGCGCGCGUGGCGACGUGUCCGCAGUACGAAGCAAACUGGAACCAGCUAUAAAUUAGUAGUUGACGUCUGACCUCGGGCUCCGCUGGGUGUCUGUGACUUUGGCCAUUUUGAGUUUGCAGGUCAUUUCGCAACGUUUGGUGUGCCCCGCAAUCGGCAGGAUAUUAUUUUCUGUGUUGUCUCUGGUUUGCGGACGGAUGGAGUUAAGGAGUGAUUUCCAUCUCUGGAGAGACUACCUGCGGCUGGCGGAUACGGUCCUGGCCAUACAAUCCGGGAGUGUCGCGCCGGAAGAUCCAGAUCGGGUCGGAAUUCAGCUAAAAUCUGGCCGACAACAUCUUUCAACGGAGCGAUAUUGUGCGAAUGGCGGGGGGAAGAGAGCCUCCAGUGAACCCGCGACUGGACCCCGGCAGUCCCGAGAAAAGGAAUCCCAGAAGUCGAGACGCCCCUUCUGCAGUUUUUGUAGGAAAAAUGGGGAGUCAGAGCUCGUCUUUCGUUCGCACUGGCUCCGGGACCGAGCGGGCGGUGUGAGCUGCCCGUACUUACGGGAGUACGUGUGUCCGCUGUGCUUGGCCACUGGGCCCAAGGCGCACACAAGGCGGCAUUGCCCGCAUGCUGACACUACCUACUGCUCAGUGUACGCCAGGGCUCCCCGCUGAGCCGGGAGUCGACGUUUUAAAGAGACAUUUAAAAUGAAACUUUUAAAAAUUUAUUUUAAUUUAACCAUUUCACAGUCUGUUUAUGUGCGUGUUUUUCACAUUUUGUUUUGGUUUAAGAUUUGUUGGACGAUCUUGAUGUGAUGUGUGUAUUUUUUAUGGUUUGUUUACGUGUUCUCACUUGUCUUGCUUUUUUGCACAGAGUGUUACUGCCUUUUUAAUUAACUAGCCUUUCUCGCUGAUUACCCUAUUAACAUGUUCUCAGGCUUUGGUGUCCCGUUUUAUUGGUGGCUCAUUCCCUCUUGCUUAUCACUAAGACUUGUUUCUGGAAUCUGAUGACGGAUGCUGUCCCUCACUUAAUUGCAGAAAGCCUUUUAAAAGUCUUGUGCUUCUUGUGAAAUAUUUCAGUUGAUGCAAGUGCUGUUUUGAAUGGAUCAUGUACACCAGCGCAUACGCUGAUUUUAAUUUGCAUAAUGAAUUAAGAGAGACUGAAUAACAA